rnacentral:rRNA from 1 species
CCUACGGGGUGCAGCAGUUGGGGAUAUUGCACAAUGGGGGGAGCCCUGAUGCAGCGACGCCGCGUGGGUGAAGAAGCGCCUCGGCGCGUAAAGCCCUGUCAGCAGGGAAGAAAAUGACGGUACCUGAAGAAGAAGCCCCGGCUAACUACGUGCCAGCGGCCGCGGUAAUACGUAGGGGGCAAGCGUUAUCCGGAUUUACUGGGUGUAAGGGGGGCGCAGACGGCGAUGCAAGCCGGGGGUGAAAGCCCGGGCCCAACCCCGGGGCUGCUCUUGGAACUGCGGGGCUGGAGUGCAGGAGGGGCAGGCGGAAUUCCUGGUGUAGCGGUGAAAUGCGUAGAUAUCAGGAGGAACACCGGUGGCGAAGGCGGCCUGCUGGACUGCAACUGACGUUGAGGCCCGAAAGCGUGGGGAGCAAACAGGAUUAGAUACCCUUGUAGUC